UACGGAGGGUGCAAGCGUUAUCCGGAUUCACUGGGUUUAAAGGGUGCGUAGGUGGGCUGGUAAGUCAGUGGUGAAAUCCCCGAGCUUAACUUGGGAACUGCCAUUGAUACUAUCAGUCUUGAAUACCGUGGAGGUCAGCGGAAUAUGUCAUGUAGCGGUGAAAUGCUUAGAUAUGACAUAGAACACCAAUUGCGAAGGCAGCUGGCUACACGAAUAUUGACACUGAGGCACGAAAGCGUGGGGAGCGAACAGG
rnacentral:rRNA from 1 species